rnacentral:rRNA from 1 species
UACGUAGGGACCAAGCGUUGUUCGGAUUUACUGGGCGUAAAGAGCGUGUAGGCGGCCAAGCAGGUCCGUUGUGAAAACUGGAGGCUUAACCUCCAGACGUCGACGGAAACCGCGUGGCUAGAGUCCGGAAGAGGAGAGUGGAAUUCCUGGUGUAGCGGUGAAAUGCGCAGAUAUCAGGAAGAACACCAAUGGCGAAGGCAGCUCUCUGGGACGGUACUGACGCUGAGACGCGAAAGCGUGGGGAGCGAACAGG